UUGUUCUUGAAGCCGUGAAUUGGAAUGGAAAUCUCACUUGCACUGUUGUUGCACUGGGGACUGCAGUAUCAUAAUUUUAGUUGUGGUUGAAACAGAGAAGAGCAAAGAUCUUCCGAAGCAGAGCACACAUUGGUCACAUCCUUUUUUGAAGAGAGAAUCAUCUUAAGGUGAUGUAACCUAGCCAUCCUACGACGUAGCAAGAAGCCCAUUUGGAAGAGGCUGGAUUUGAGGGUGACCAAAGUAGAAACCUGCAUGUUCAUCAUAAAAGGGUUAGGGUGUAGGUAUUUUUUUUUUCUUAUAUAUGAACGAUAGAUGUAUAGUACAAAAAGAAGUUUUUGUUUUUUUGCGUUGUUUUUUAUCAUCGUGUUGAUAUUUCUUUUCCUUUUCAGCUGCCUUCAAUUGAACACUUACAUUUUGUGCACAUUGAAUAAUUGUGUUCUUUUAAAUCUUGUAGUACCCUUAAUUUUUGAG
rnacentral:sRNA from 1 species